UAUGGAAAUGCGGUUAUUUGA
ensembl:piRNA 21ur-1623 ncRNA